rnacentral:lncRNA from 1 species
AUGUAUUUUCAGAAAAUGGCUUUCAACAAAAGAACAGAGAAGCUGUACACCGACACCUUCAAAGUGGUGAUUCUGCGAGAGACGAUAAAGGUGAAGGAGUGGAACAUCUCAGAGGAGGAGGCAUUGGCCGUCACCACACUGACCAACUAUGCCGCUGGGGUGUCUGAUGGGAAGAGGGCAACUAAAUUUAUAAUGUUUGAGGAAUUGGCUAAGGGGAUAGAGGAGGGGAAGUCUUACAGGAUAAAAAAUUUUGGGUGGAGCAGUUACGGGGAUAUUAGAAGUAGAACAAUGCUGACAAGGCAUCAGACCGUGGCCUACAUUGCUGCCCCGGUCCAAGUCCCCGCCCACCUGGAGGCAGAGGCUCGGGGCUUAAUAUGUCCCGAGUCAAUGCUCGUCCCUCUGCGGGAGAUGGCAGAGGUCGAGGAGACGACGCUGCUGACUGUUCAGGGCUGGGUCAAAGAACUAGGUGCGUUCCACCCGCAAACAGCGGCCGGUGGCCCGCCAGUGCCUCGAAGGGCCGUGGUGGUGAAAGAUGGGGAUACAGAGGUGGAAUUGCUACUCUGGAGGGAGGCCAACCUCACACCGUUAGAGGUUGGCCUCCUUAUAAGAGUGACCCAUCUGCGGGCGAAAAGGAGCAACUGGGGACUGAGCCUCCACUCGUCAGGGCACACUUCAGUGGAAGUUAUCAAUGGAGACAAGGAGGUCCAGGUCAUGGGGUACAGGACCCUCCCAGACGGUGACAUGGAGGUCCUGGACCCCAUGGACAACGAACAUGUCGUUCCACAGGCCAUGUGGGAUGCAGUGAUUGGAGAGACCGUCCCAGCCAUACCUUUCAAUUUAUUAUUUACUUUUGAAAGGGCAAAAUUACUCCUAAUUAAUUUAAGAGAGGAGUAG